rnacentral:rRNA from 1 species
GACGAACGCUGGCGGCGUGCUUAACACAUGCAAGUCGAACGGAAAGGCCCUGCUUUUGUGGGGUGCUCGAGUGGCGAACGGGUGAGUAACACGUGAGUAACCUGCCCUUGACUUUGGGAUAACUUCAGGAAACUGGGGCUAAUACCGGAUAGGAGCUCCUGCUGCAUGGUGGGGGUUGGAAAGUUUCGGCGGUUGGGGAUGGACUCGCGGCUUAUCAGCUUGUUGGUGGGGUAGUGGCUUACCAAGGCUUUGACGGGUAGCCGGCCUGAGAGGGUGACCGGCCACAUUGGGACUGGGAUACGGCCCAGACUCCGAGGGGAGGGAGCAGUGGGGAAUAUUGCACAAGGGGCGGAAGCCGGAGGCAGCAACGCCGGGGGGGGGAGGACGGCCUUCGGGUUGUAAACCGCUUUCGCCUGUGACGAAGCGGGGGUGACGGUAAUGGGUAAAGAAGCACCGGCUAACUACGG